UUUCUUUUUUUUCCCCUCUGCUCUCUGCUCAUUCGUUCGUUCUUUCAUCGCUGUGUGUCGACUGUCAAUGUGACUUGAAGAUAAUACACACAAUAGCGAGAAUCAUGGCACUGUGGAGAUAUCGUACACCAAUUACUAUCGGCCUAAGUUUAGCCUCAAUCACCACAAUUUACAGUUUUCGCAAUGAACUUUUCAACUCAAACCUAGAUGAACAGCGCAGAAAAUUGUACGGCGAUCCAGAGAAACAACAACGAACGUUCCAGGCUGCAUGCAAAGAAAUGGACGUUCCCGUUCAAAAGUUUUUCUAGCCGAUUUCGAUAUAUUCUAUUAAUUAGAUGAUUUAAGCACAAUAAACGCUCUUUUCCGUUCAAAUAAA